UGGAUCUGUUCCGUGUGCCCCAACGGACACAGCUCCGUUGCAGCAAGCCCAGAGGAGGUGACAGAGUUGGAAAGGGGACUGGAGCUCCCCUCUGAGCCUGAGAAAGCUGGGCCUGUUCAGCCUGGAGGGGAGAAGGCUCUGGGGACACCUCACAGCCCCUUCCAGUGUCUGAAGGGGUGGAGAGCAGAGCCAGAGAGGGACUCUUCACCAGGAGCUGCAGGGAGAGGGCAACGGGGAAUGGCUUCACACUGACAGAGGGGAAAUUUAGGCAAGCCCAGUCAAGCCUUCCAAAGCACUGAAGACAACCAGAGGCCUUUCAAAAUGGCUUCUCAAAGCCUCUCCAUAAAGGCUUCCCAAGCACGUUCCUGUCUCCUCUUCCAGAGUGCAGAGAAAUUGCUCCAUCCCCGGCAAGUUCUCCGCUGAGUGGAGCACACGCACAUCAACUCGAUUUUAACAGGUCACGGAACAAGCCGGGCAUUUAAAAAUAUCCACCUACCCAAAAGGACAAAUGAAUCCGCACUGUGGAGCCCUCAGCAAAGAUGGUUGGAACAAAACAAACAAAACAAUCGUGGUAA